UGAGGAACAUGACCUUCGGCGGGGGAUAGCCGGCCCAACGGCCGGGUAAUACCGCGUACGACCUUUUGGGGACAUCCCUGAUUGGUGAAAGCAGCAAUGCGCCGAAAGAGUGCCUCGCGGCCUAUCAGCUAGUUGGUGGGGUAAUGGCUCACCAAGGCAACGACGGGUAGCUGGUCUGAGAGGAUGGCCAGCCACAUUGGGACUGAGACACGGCCCAGACCUCCGUACGGGGAGGNAGCG
rnacentral:rRNA from 1 species